CAGGGGAUCCCGGCCUACAGGAGUGCAGCCCCGGCCCCACAUGUGCUGCAGGGACGGCUCCGUGUACUGCUAUGUAGCUAGACAAUCACAGCAACCUUCAGUAGCACAACCCAAGGGAAUGCCUCCAUCCAGAGCAAGAUCAAGCACGGAUGAGUAAACACCAGGACCGUCAAGACCAGGGGAUCAUGAGCUACAGCCUGUUCUAUGGCGGCAGACAGUGGUGCAAGCCUCCAGACCAGCUAAUGAGAAACUACACUAUGUUGACAAAUGUGAUUGGACACUGACAGCAAAAUGAUCAACAAGAUUUUAUUGACAUCAGUAGGUCCACCACUUGCAGUGAUUACUGCAGACACCCUCCUUGGCAAAUUGUCCACAGGUUUCUGGACAACAGCAGAUGGUAUGUUUUGCCACUCUGUCUUAAUUACAGUGACCAACUGUGACACUGAAGAAGGUCAAGUCUGCCUAGAACGACCUGACGCUCUAUUUCGACCCAGAGGUUGUCAAUGGGGUUACCAAAUUUUAUGUAUACCAGUCCAGCGUCGCCUGGAAACUUGACAGGUGGCCGUUUCCGUAGAACUGCCACAAUGUAGGGAGCAUAGAGUUUUUAAGAACAUCUUUAUACUUCUCUUAGUUAAUUUGACCAUGCAUUACAACUAGAGGACCCAUGG